rnacentral:misc_RNA from 1 species
CCGAGUGAGGGCCCUCUGGGUCCAACCUCCCACCCGUGUCUAUCGUACCUUGUUGCUUCGGCGGGCCCGCCUCACGGCCGCCGGGGGGCAUCUGCCCCCGGGCCCGCGCCCGCCGAAGACACCUAUGAACUCUGUCUGAAGAUUGCAGUCUGAGUGAAAUUAUAAAUUAUUUA